CCUACGGGGGGCAGCAGUGGGGAAUAUUGCUCAAUGGGGGAAACCCUGAAGCAGCAACGCCGCGUGGAGGAUGAAGGUUUUCGGAUUGUAAACUCCUUUUGUUAGAGAAGAUAAUGACGGUAUCUAACGAAUAAGCACCGGCUAACUCCGUGCCAGCAGCCGCGGUAAUACGGAGGGUGCAAGCGUUACUCGGAAUGACUGGGCGUAAAGAGCGCGUAGGCGGGAUAGCAAGUCAGAUGUGAAAUCCUAUGGCUUAACCAGAGAACUGCAUUUGAAACUGUUAUUCUAGAGUAUGGGAGAGGUAGGUGGAAUUCUUGGUGUAGGGGUAAAAUCCGUAGAGAUAAAGAGGAAUACUCAUUGCGAAGGCGACCUGCUGGAACAUUACUGACGCUGAUGCACGAAAGCGUGGGGAGCAAACAGGAUUAGAUACCCCUGUAGUC
rnacentral:rRNA from 1 species